rnacentral:rRNA from 1 species
UACGGGGGGGGCAAGCGUUGUUCGGAAUUACUGGGCGUAAAGGGUCUGUAGGUGGCUUGCUAAGUCAGACGUGAAAUCCCUCAGCUUAACUGGGGAACUGCGUCUGAGACUGGCGAGCUUGAGGGCAGGAGAGGAGACUGGAAUUUACGGUGUAGCGGUGAAAUGCGUAGAUAUCGUAAGGAAGACCAGCGGCGAAGGCGGGUCUCUGGACAGUUCCUGACGCUGAGGCACGAAGGUCAGGGGAGCAAACGGG